UUCUAAUUUGUUUCUGAAAGCCAAUCACAAAACCAUGCAAUGAUAUGCAUGGUUUUGUGAUUGGCUUUCAGAAACAAAUUAGAA